rnacentral:rRNA from 1 species
CGGAGGAUCCGAGCGUUAUCCGGAUUUAUUGGGUUUAAAGGGUGCGUAGGCGGCCUAUUAAGUCAGGGGUGAAAUACGGUGGCUCAACCAUCGCAGUGCCUUUGAUACUGAUGGGCUUGAAUCCAUUUGAAGUGGGCGGAAUAAGACAAGUAGCGGUGAAAUGCAUAGAUAUGUCUUAGAACUCCGAUUGCGAAGGCAGCUCACUAAGCUGGUAUUGACGCUGAUGCACGAAAGCGUGGGGAUCGAACAGGAUU